AAGAAAGUCUCAAGGGUAAUAUCCUUGGGCAUUGACGUUACCCACAGAAGAAGCACUGGCUAACUCUGUGCCAGCAGCCGCGGUAAUACAGAGAGUGCAAGCGUUAAUCGGAAUCACUGGGCGUAAAGCGCGCGUAGGUGGAUAUUUAAGUCGGAUGUGAAAGCCCUGGGCUUAACCUAGGAAUUGCACCCGAUACUGGAUAUCUUGAGUAUGGUAGAGGGAAGUGGAAUUUCCGGUGUAGCGGUGAAAUGCGUAGAUAUCGGAAAGAACACCAGUGGCGAAGGCGACUUCCUGGACCAAUACUGACACUGAGGCGCGAAAGCGUGGGGAGCAAACAGGAUUAGAGACCCUGGUAGUCCACGCCGUCAACGAUGAGAACUAGCUGUUGGGAAGUUUACUUCUUAGUAGCGAAGUUAACGCGUUAAGUUCUCCGCCUGGGGAGUACGGCCGCAAGGUUAAAACUCAAAGAAAUUGACGGGGGCCCGCACAAGCGGUGGAGCAUGUGGU
rnacentral:rRNA from 1 species